rnacentral:rRNA from 1 species
GACGAACGCUGGCGGCGUGCCUAAUACAUGCAAGUAGAACGCUGAAGGAGGAGCUUGCUUCUCUGGAUGAGUUGCGAACGGGUGAGUAACGCGUAGGUAACCUGCCUGGUAGCGGGGGAUAACUAUUGGAAACGAUAGCUAAUACCGCAUAAUAGCAGUUAUUGCAUGAUAACUGUUUGAAAGGUGCAAUUGCACCACUACCAGAUGGACCUGCGUUGUAUUAGCUAGUUGGUGGGGUAACGGCUCACCAAGGCGACGAUACAUAGCCGACCUGAGAGGGGGAUCGGCCACACUGGGACUGUGACACGGCCCAGACUCCUACGGGAGGCAGCAGUAGGGAAUCUUCGGCAAUGGACGGAAGUCUGACCGAGCAACGCCGCGUGAGUGAAGAAGGUUUUCGGAUCGUAAAGCUCUGUUGUAAGAGAAGAACGAGUGUGAGAGUGGAAAGUUCACACUGUGACGGUAUCUUACCAGAAAGGGACGGCUAACUACGUG